rnacentral:tmRNA from 1 species
GGGGCUGAUAUAGCUUUCGACAAUUGGACCUUAUCAUGACAUUCUGCGAGCCGACGAUACGCGUAAAGUAUGUUUUUAGAUGCAAAAAACUUUGCAAGCAAAGUUGCGGGCCUAUUCCAGGUUCGUGCUUUCGCACCAGCUGUAGCGUAAUUUUCUAUAGCCAUCUUGUCGCGCAGGCAACAUAGCGUGGACGAGGUGUUAUAUUUAUGUUGCUCGCUAUGAUUCUGGAAGUAGCAGACUCAUGGGACUUUUUCUACGUAACGUAACUCGGUAUUUUUGGCUUAUUUUUAAGUCGAGUGGCGUUAUAAAAUUAAAUUGAAAUAAGCCUAUGCUUGUAGACGAAUAUCAUGAUACCAGUUGGACCCGGGGGCAGUACCCGGCAGCUCCACCA